GCUGUGCUCCCUGUUGCCUUUCGGAUCCUUCGCGUGUGCUCGCUUUUCGGCAUGUUGUGAUGAUUUGUGAAGAUCGGGUGGGUAACUGGACUCCAAGGCUGGAUGUGAUCUGUGGUCCGGUGGCCCCAGCCUCACUUCCGGAACACCUUGUGCACCGGUGGAGGGGCCGUUCCUGUCGCUGCUGGGGUCUGUCGGGGAGAGAAAGAAGAACAGCUUAAUAAGAAGGAUCGGAGGCUCCUGGCCCAGUUCCCUCCCACACUUGACUCAUUAGUCACAACGAACAAACAACUGUUAAAGCAGUCAGUCAAUCAAAGCCAACUGAAUCUUGGUUAAUUUAAGUAUUACUGCAACUAGUUAGGAUUAAAAACUAGCGCUGUGGCUUUCAAUAUCUAGCUCGCUGUUCCCCAUAUCCCGAAGACAGACCAUCGGAGAAAUUAUAAAUGGAUAAGGCUUUUGAAGGCAGAGCUGCAGGAGUCUGUCUACAGGUUAUGGGGUACCUGCUGUGGUGAAUGUGGUCUCCCAAGGCCCCAAGGUGAAUGAACACUUAGAGCCAUGGUCCAGGAUACUAUUACUUCAGGAAGUUGGAAGGAAAUGAUUAACAGGUUCAGAGACAAAGGAGAAGACGCCCUCACCUGUGUAGCCUGCGGUCCUUUGAACUCAAACUGAGAAUCCGGCUUUGGUUUGGUGGUGGUCCUGCCAAAAUGAGAGACACAGAUAUAACAGCAAUCCAAGAGGAAAACAAGAAAGAAAAAUCAAGGCUGCCAUUCCUCAGGCAGGGGUCCUUUAACCCCUCAACAAUGCAGACAAUGACAAAGAACCCAAGCCACAUCUGACCUUGUUUCCUGGGUCCCCUGUUGUGAGGGGGCAUGAGUGGUGGUGAUGGUGGCAAUCUUCUCCGCAUUAGUCAGCAGUGUGGCAUUGGAGGACUCUGUAGGGCAGAGCAUAAAGAAAUGAAGGCCUUUGAGAAGACAUCUACCAACUGGGAGGCAUGCAGAAACCCCGGAUCUAGAUCCUGACUUCCCUGUCUCCAUUUCAAAUAGCUGACUGAAAAAUUUAAACAACCGGGGGUCCAUGAUCCCUCUCAAGGAGGACACUGCAGGACUCUCUUCCCUACCCGACCCCACAAAUGUAACGCAGCUUACAGAGGGAGGUGUCACUCCUGUCCUGACCCUGAAAGAUGGCAGGAACCAUCAGAAUACUACACCACAUUGAAGUUCAAGCAUUUUACCGGGUGAUGAUGAAUGGCUUUGCUAACGUUCGCUGCAGUUUAACAGCUAUAUUUGACUGAGUCUGUUUGAUCUCCUCAUGUAAAUGCUAGAAUCAGGAAUGCUGCACCCACCAUCUUGUUAAAUACAUAAGUAACAUCUGCUUUCUUCCCUGUUGCUUUGAAUGGAGCCCAACUGCAAAGCGGAUGGGACUCUUGACAAACCUCAUUUAGUAUCUCUCAUGAAAGAUUCAUUUUAAAACUUACAUUAGAAUAACCAGUGUUUAUAAAUACAAGCCAUAUAAAUCAUGAGGCCACCUUAAUGUAAUGAAUACAAUCAUAUUCAUAUGUAAAUUGACUCUCUUCUCCACUAAUCAAAUUCAAAAGCAACUUCAUUAAUUUCUAGGAGGUUGGAGGUUUGGAAUCUGAAAAUACUCACGAAUGUAACCAUGUUCUGCACACCCACAUGUACGUAAAUUCUAAUCGCUUGUUAGCGAUGGCUAAUCAGUCUCUAUUUACGAAAUCAUUUAUUAGUCAUCCGUUUCUCUAUUUGGACCAAGCCGGGUAGCAUGAUCAAGUCCUACUCUUGGUAUUUAUUUUUAAACUGACUCCAUUUUUUUUAGUAAGGAUUAGCUGCGGUUGUGGUGUUCUAGUAUUAGCCUGUACGUGUCCAUUCAAUUCAUGGUGCAACUUGGAAACACAAGUUCCCACAAGCCAUGAUUCACAGGAAGCAGCUUAGCAUUGGGAGAAUGCAAAUAUCUAUCCGCCAGGUAAAACAAGGCUUCUAUGGGAAAAUAUUGUAAGCAUUCUAAAUCGAGAAACCUGGAAAAUAUCUUUCUCCAUUGUGUUCUUGGAACAAAAGACAGCUCAUGUAUCCCAACUGAUGGUGGUCUGCCUUCCAUUUUCAUUCCUUAGCAUGCACUCGGUUGAAUCCAGCUUCCUAGAGCUUUAUUUUUUGUUAUGUACUGUGUGUGAGUUUUGAGAUUUCAGACCCAGGUCCAGAUCACUGCUUCCUCCCUCAUUUUGGUAAGAGCCUUAUUUUUCUUAUUUGGUAAAAGGAGUUCUGUCCCGUUUUGUGGCUAAAGGGACAGAAAGUGUUUUGUAGACUGUCUGCCUGGCACACAUACAGUGAGUGCCCAGUGCACACACACUCCACCUUUGGGCCUUGCUGCUGGUAAAAACUCUUACUAUUUUCUAAGGGGGCUUCUUGAAAGUUGUUUAAAGACUCUGAAGAACGACAAAGUGUAAUAUGAUUCUUUAGUUUCUCUACUACAUCCCAAAGCCUAUUACUCUUCUAGGCAGAGACUUUAACUGGAUCCAGAGGAUUGCUUCUAUAUCCAAGUCACACUGCAGGACAAUGUUCCCUCUAAUCUGUCCUUUUCAAAUCUCUGUAGACAGCAGGGAAAGAGUGUGUGGCCAAGAAGGAACUGCCACGUGAAACAGGGGAAUGUGCCUAGGAGCAUCUCUUAGGCUGCUCUCUGUCUGGUACUGUGACAAUGUGCUCUGUGUCCUCUGAGUGGGGAGGUGGUGCUCAAAUUAGCUGGUAGGCAGCUCGCCCAGUGGUUGCGAGGUCAGACUGCAGGGUCACACCAUCACACUCUGCAGCUUUACAGAAUAGGGUUUAAACAAUGUGACAUAAGCACAUUCUGCCUCAGUUUUCUCAUCUGCAUGAUGGGAACAACACGAGUCUCUAAGGAAAUUGGUGCAGUGAUUAUAAUUAAAAAAUAGGAUGGUGCCUGACAUAUAAAUAUUAGUCAAAAUAAUUAAAACAUGUGGGAUAUCUAUUGUUAUUACUUAUUAGGGCCAUUGUUUUAAGAGUAUAUUGGUGAAUUUUAAUUACUGUUAUUAGGAGACUGGAGGAACACUGGCUCCUUUACAUCACUUCCAGACCAGGGCAGCUAACCUGGAGAACCACAGGGACAGCACCUUCUGUCAGUAUGGCUCACUGACGCUUAUGACCACGGACACCAGACUCUGAAGACCCCUAACACUGCUCAUCAUCGUUCACUGCAUAAAGACUAUCCGGGAAGUUAUGGGAAUGUUUGGGCCAUAGUGAACUCAUUAUUGGGACAACAAAAAAGAAUGUUUUCUUGUAAUUAAAGUGAUUAUAACUGCUGAA